rnacentral:lncRNA from 1 species
AACAACAACAAAAAAUUAUGUUCCCAAUUUCUAAAAUUUACCUGUAUUUUCCACUUGUUCACCUCUCUAGUAUCUUUAAUAGGCAAAAAUUAGUAAUUAUAAGCAAGAAAUCAAAAGACUGGGGGGCUGUCCUCUCUUUGUAGCUUCACAGCCUGUCAUCUUUGCAUUUUCAUAUUCACUUCCAUUUACAAUUAAUGUUUACACAACACACUAAACAGCUAUAUUUUGGUAAGUUUUUUUGUUUUUUGUUUUUCGAGACAGGGUUUCUCUAUCCUAGAACUCACUCUGUAGACCAGGCUUGCCUCGAACUCAGGAAUCUAUCUGCCUCUGCCUCCCAAGUGCUGGGAUUAAAGGCGUGCUCCACCACUGCCUGGCAUAUUUUGGCAAGUUUUAUCUUUCUCAUAUUUCUCAUUUUUCAUAUGAGAAUAUGGCUUCUAUUUCCAUAAUAAAUAAAAAUAUUCUAGUGAAAGAAAUCCAUUCUCAUUUUAAAAACAAUUGUUUUGCCACAAGUACUCUUCUUACUGUAACCCUGACAUGCAUUUGUUUUUCACAUGACAUCGUUAGAAUCACCAGUCACCGUGGCUACACUGCACAAUGAAGUACAUUGAUUACCUCCACCUGAUCCUCAUUGGAUGAUUUCUUAGUUGUUGAUUAAGCAUGGUAUAUUUCCCACCAACUCCAGAUUUUCCCAAAGAGGGGAUCUUAUUUCUAACUUACUGGUGAAUCAGGAGACCAAACUCAUUUGCACACAGCUGGCUGAACCUUCAAAAAUCACCCUCAGUGACACUCCUCCCUUGACCAAGUUCUAUAAAUAUGCCAUACAGAGUCUUCAUUUUUCAACGUGUGUUUACCUCAUAUAAUCUUUCUUAUAUUUUCAAGGUAUUGUUGGCCUGUCUUAGUGAAUAGCCUGAUUCUCAGGGCUAUCUCCCAAUGAGCUUUACAGAGUUUGGCUUCAUCUCAUAAAGUAUCUCACUGGUUCAGGUUGAGGAGGCUUCUGAUUUGUGAAGCAGCAUUUGGUAUUCAGUUUGGGACCCUUCAGGAUAUUGCCCAUCAAGGUGAGAUUGAUUCUCUCUAAGUAUUUUGAACUUAGGUUUAAGAAUCCCUGACUCAGGAAAACGAUGCCAUAUGGAUGUUGAUACAAGUCGCCAUGGUAUUUAAUUGCAUGUGAACACUCAUAGCUUCCUGGGUUUGAGAUGUGACUGUAUGCUCCUCCAUGGUUCUUGGCUGUGUUUUAUUCUUGCAGAUCUCUAAGGGCAUUGGCAGUAAUCAGUCUGUCCUUUAAUAACAGGGAGAGAUUCUGUUCAGACUUGUUUUGCCAGUAAGCAAGGAGAACACUGGAACCUACCAUACUCUCCUCAACACAGAUUAAGAAUAUUCAAAAGUUGUUUCAAUUUAGGGAAAUGACAUGAACCAUGCAUACUGCUGAUGAAUGGUGUCGGGUAUUCUGGUAGGUCAGAGCUUCAUAUCUACCAUGGUGAACUCAUAGUGGAUCACAGCCUUUGGCCAGCCACAGCUUAUCAGACAUUCCAUGCCCAUUACAUUUCCCAACAUAAUUGUUCAGGUUUUUGACCAGUUUAAAUCUCAGUAAUGAUGGAAUAUCUAGUAAUUCUCGUGCUAUGAUAGUGUACUCAUGGGCACAGUCAUUAUCACAUUGUUUCCUAAGCAGAACUCUCUGAAUCAGUAGGGAAAUCAACAGUGCACUUAGUAUUACGUUUCCUGGAUAUUCUUUUUAUUAAGGAGGAUGUUGAGAUGAGGUUAUCUCCUGCUCUAUGUCACUCCACGUUGUGUACAACAAUGUUCCUUCAGAGUUUGCUUUGCCCCAUGAGACUUCCAAUUACAAGCAGAAUUUCAUUUUAUUUGAUAGUGGAAAAUGUCUGUGUGCCCAGGUGGACAUUAUGAGAAAAGAGGUAUGCCAUUAGUUUGUUUAGAAAUAUAGGUAACAUGAAUUUACCCCUUUGAAAUAAACUUCCUUGGGACAGAGUGUCUUGCAUCCGGGUAAGAACAGUACACAGGGAGAAUGUCAUUCUUGAGGCAUAAUAAUGAAACCGUACAUAGAAAGCCUUUUAAAGCCUUCAUUUUAAAACCAAGGGAGGAGCUUCAUUAUGAGGAAUACUUACAGUAAAAAAAUGAUGGCCCCCAUAGAUAGGGUGUAACCUGGGUAAUUUAUGCUAACUUGACACAAACUAUUGGCACCUGGGAGGAGGAAAUAAUAAUCAAGGUAUUGCCUACAUCAAAUUGUGUUUGGCCAUAUCUUCAUGGUUAAUUGAUAUAGGAGAGCACAGCCCACCAUAGAAGGUGGUAGCAUAUAUAAGAUAGUGUGGGAUGAGUAAGAUAGGUAGUUGAGCAAUUCAGGGAGAGAAAGCCAGUAAGGGGCAUUCCCUGUGGUUUCUGAUUUAGUCUGUAUAUUUAUAUUGCUACAUUGGCUUAUCUCAAUGACGACCUGUAACAUGUAAGCCAAAUAAAUCCUUUUCUUUCAUUUGUCCUUUGUCAUAGAGUUUCCUACUACAAUAACAAACUAGAACAGGACAACAGGGUAUGGUGGACUGAUGUGCCUUUGGCUAAUCUUUCAGUGAAUCUAGUUUUUCUCCUUCCUGAAGAAACCAUCAGCUUCAUCUCAUAGCCCAUUUCUGUUUCUUUGUUUCAAAUGCCAUUACCUAAGUCAUUCUUAUCCUUGAAAUUCAGUACACAGUCAAGGCUCUAAAUCAGACAACUGAUGCAUAUCUUAUUGAGUUACAAAAGUCAAGAAGAGCCUUUAUCCCUACUUGUAUUAGAAUGUACUUAUACAAGUAGGGGCAAAGGCUACUAAAUACUACUACUGCAUACUAAACUGGGGAAAGGGAUAAUACCAAUCCAGUUACAAACACUUCUAUCUACUUUGGUGGCCUGCCUGCAUGAUAUUCUAAUGCAACAGUGUACCAAACAUUUUGGGAAUAAUCGGACACUCUAUGGUGGUAUUUAGGGUCUAUUCCAUGAGAUGGAACCAAUGCCUGACACUUCUUGGGUGGUCUAGAACGUAAGAGUAAAUAGGUGAAGAUUAAUCAUUAUGCUAAAGGAAUGUAGGUGUAAAAUGAUUUUUUUAAUUAGGUAUUUAUUUCAUUUACAUUUCCAAUGCUAUCCCAAAAGUCCCCCCACAUGCUCCCCCACCCACUCCCCUACCCACCCACUCCCCUACCCACCCACUCCCCUACCCACCCACUCCCACUUCUUGGCCCUGGCGUUCCCCUGUACUGAGGCAUAUAAAGUUUGCACGACCAACGGGCCUCUCUUUCCACUGAUGGCUGACUAGGCCAUAUUCUGAUACAUAUGCAGCUAGAGACACAAGCUCUGGGGAGUACUGGGUAGUUCAUAUUGUUGUUCCACAUAUAAGGUUGCAGAUCCCUUUAGCUCCUUGGGUACUUUCUCUAGCUCCUCCAUUAGGGGCCCUGUGAUCCAUCCAAUAGAUGACUGUGAGCAUCCACUUCUGUGUUUGCUAGGCCCCGGCAUAGUCUCACAAGAGACAGCUAUAUCUGGGUCCUGUCAGCAAAAUCUUGCUAGUGUAUGCAAUGGUGUCAGUGUUUGGAAGCUGAUUAUGGGAUGGAUCCCCGGGUAUGGCAGUCUCUAGAUGGUCCAUCCUUUCAUCUCAGCUCCAAACUGUGUGGUAAAAUGAUUUCUAAUGAGACUCUGUUGUAUCCAUAGAUCAAUGUCUGACUCAGAAGCUUUCGCCUGAAAACAUGUGAAGUCACACAGUGACCUACAACUGGACAAUGUGCAGAAAGGGAGAGACUUUGGUAACUCAGUCCUAAGUGGGAUGUUUCCAUGAAAGUCUUUCCAUUAAGGAUAUGGAAAGUAUGUGUACAAUGAGGCACUUAUAUUGUAAGAGCCAGAGGGGAUGGAAGACACCAGGGAAACAGUGCUUUGAUCAUUUUGGAGUGCACAUUGAUAAUUUCACAGAUGUCUUUACAGAGAGUAACAGCGAGGGCUGCUUCACAGGAUAUAACCUAAAUGAGCAGGACUGGGUUGAGGUGGUCACUCCAGCCACUACGUUAAGCCAAAGAAGUGACUCCUCAAGCUUCUAGUAAGCAGCUCAGCUAGCCCUCUGGCUGUAAUUCUGUGGAGCCGAGUUACACUUAUGGUUUUCAGACCCAUAACAGAGGACGUAAGUAGAAAGUAAAUAGAAAGGAUUUUUUUAUCAGUAAACAGUUAGGCAUUGAUGAGUGACAAAUGACCUAAAAUUCCAGUAAAGGCCUGAAAAAAGAAAAAACCUAGAAAUUCCAAAGUAGAGGAUAAUUAUAAAUGUCUCAAGGAAACAAUUGCUGAUCAAACCCUCUUCUAACUUUUCCUUUCCUCCCCCCCCACCAACCCCCCAAACCCCGGUUUGUUUUGGUUUCAUCUUCUAAGACAGGGUUCCUUUGUGUAGCACCUGCUGUUCAGUAACUCACUUUGUAGCUCAGGCUGGCAUUGAACUCUCUCUAAUUCUUUCUCAUUCUCCCUCUCCCCCUCCCCCUCCCCUCCUUCUCCCCUCCCCCUCCCCUCCCCCCUCCCCUCUCUCCCUCCCCCCUUUCUAUCUUCCUCUCUCUCUCUUUGUGUGUGUGUUUGUCUUUUCUCUGUCUCUUUGUCUCUCUAAUUUAAAAACAGAGUUUCAGUGUACAAACUCACAGAGAUCCUCCCAUUUCAGCCUUCUGAGUGUGGGAAAUAAAGGUGACUGACCUUUUUCUUUGAAAGUGUGUAUGAAAAUGAUCUGUAGGCUAUUUCGAAGUCAGUAAAGUUGAUACAGAACUACUUUACAACUGUUUAUUGAUUCUAAAGAUAUAUUAUUUUAAUAACAAUAAGUGAGAAAUGGCAAUGAAGGAAGCUUCUUAAUGAAACAUCUGCACACAGAAAAGCUUGGAUGUUGUAAGAAUUAAAGGGGAAUGACUUCUUUCUAAAUUAUCUCAACAUAGCACACAAUGGAUGGUUCCUUCAACAGCUUUUCAAGGACUUUCUUCUGUUUCCAUGUCUGAAGACGGUAUGGAUGCAAUCCUUGCUCACAUUUUUUGCAGGGCUUGAGCUACGGAACAUAUCAUAUUAGAAUCUCUGGUAUAGCAAUUGUUUUGCGUUUUCUUAGUUGCAAUUUAUGCCUGAAACUGAUCACUUAGAUAUUAAGAAUAAAAAAAAUAAAUAAAGUAAAUAAAAUUACUGGCAAGGAGUUGAUAUGCAAUCAAAUGUUCCGUUGAAUAGCAUGAAUUUAAAAACAAUAACAGGUAGUAAAUCCCAACAACACACAGAGAAUUUGUAUGGAGUUACACAUCAGUGUUCACCUGUGAGUUUAAAGUAUAUGAAUCGAUAGGUGCAUCUAGUAAUUUCAUUCUUUAUCUUCAGUACAGGAGAAAAGAUGACCAGAAAUUGCUGGCUGAUACAAAUCUAAGGCUCAGAAGAUAUUUCUAAUGUGAGGGUGGACAUUCUGGUCAAUAUUUCCUGUCCAAUUUGUCUUUAGGGUUGUGUAUAUUUGCUGUUCAGAGCACGAUUUAGGAGAAACCGGUGUCUAGUCUGUGUCCCUGAUGUGACUUCUAACAUGUUUGUCAUGCACAGCCACAAAGCAUUCAACAAUAUUCUUGAUUCCCAAAUGUUCAAAUGCCCAUUCCCACAGAUGCACCAUUGCUUCAGCUUGGCAGGCUCCAAGUCUGUGGCUGGCCAGUGUGUCAGCAUUGAAUUUAUGUUGAAGAGCACAGCUUCAUUCUCCUCAAGAAGGGUUUCACUGAUUUAAACUGUGUGAGAGAAAGAUCAUCAUGAAAAGACAGUUUGAUACAUGGCGAUGUCCAACAGAAGCACAAUUUCUUUAUUCUUCAAGACGUCUUCACUUUAAAGAAUGAGGUUUAAGAAGAUGAGAAGCUUGCUUUUAUUUACAUAAGAUAGUGCUUCCUACAACUUGAUCAUCUUCCUUCUAGUAGUAAAUUAGCACUUCCUACAGCUUGAUCAUCUUCCUUCUAGUAGUAAAUUAGUACUUCCUACAGCUUGAUCAUCUUCCUUCCAGUGUUAAUUGUCAACACUUAUAGAGAGAAUUUGAAAUACAAAAUCGGAGACUACUAUUUGUGUAAGAAGAAUGUUGUUGAUUUAGUGAGACUUUAUGGUGUUGGCCACUGGAGACACAACUGGCCCAUGCAUGGCCACUGUCUCUUAAGUUAUCAUUGCUUGGCCCUUUGCCUUUUUGAGUCUACAGGUAAUAAAUAUAGGAAAGAUACCAUCAAAUAAAGAAAAAAAAGGUCCCUGAAAUUUUGGGA